rnacentral:tRNA from 1 species
AGCUAAAUAGCUUAAUAUAAAGCACAUAUUUUGAAAAUAUGAGAUAAAGUAAUACUUUAUUAGCUU